rnacentral:lncRNA from 1 species
UCCAACAACAAUUAAACAUAUCCAUAAACAUAACCACCGAGACCCUAGAUCAUCUUCCUCUCCUCGCCAUGAUUCCACGGAUCACACUAAACAAAUCCAGCCAUCCAAAUCAAUCAAACACACAUAAGAAGGGUUAAACAUGCUUAGAUUAGCCACAGUCACGCACUCACCUUGAUAUGGAUUGAAAGAAGGACAAAAUAAAGAGGAACAGAAAGAACAAGACCCUCCUUACACCACCAGCCACGAAUCCAACCCUCUCCUUGCUAGAACUCACCAGAAUUAGCCACAUACACCUCCAGAAACCCUCACAAUCCACUUCUUAAGCUUUAGGAGCAACCAACUCACAACCCUCUCACUCUCUUUUGUUUUUAAGAAGCGACAAAAGCCAAAAGUGAGAAAUAAAGGCUGCUUCAACGAGUUUAAAGUCGUGCCUGGGCUUUCUCCAAACAAUUCCAAUUAAACCGACGGUUUGAAAGCUAAACCGUCUAACCCAAUUUUGUUGGUGGCGAUCGACACCCAACACUGGUGUCGGUCGAUACCACCAAAAUUUCAGACACGGGUGUUACAAUUCUCCCCCACUAACAUGGAUUCGUCUUCGAAUUCCUUUAACACCGUCCAUCAGCCUAGGAGUCCAUGCAACCAACUUCAUAGUCCGCACUCCUACAGCUGACUCCUCUGAGGCCCCUAUCUAAUCAAUAUACUCACGUUUCUGACCCUAUUUGCUCAUAUUCACCCACUUCCCCCGUCCACAGGUCGCAACCUAUGAAUCAUAUCGGCUCGUCCUCAGGCCUUUGCCUUAGACUACGGUAUCCAGGAAGUCUCACCACUCCCUCCGCUCUCAGGUCGCAACCUUCAAGUCAUACCGACUCACUCUUAGGCCACCAGCCUUCAAGCUACGGUAUACGGGAAGUCUCACCACUCUCCUCGCUCCUAGGUCGCAACCUUCAAGUUAUACCGGCUCACUAUUAGGCCUCCAGCCUUCAAGCUACGGUAUCCAGGAAGUAUCACACUCGCUCUCGGGUCGUCACCCUUAAGCGUGCUCUCGAAUCGUCAUCCGAGACUAUCACAUAACACCCGAGCAAAUAAGUAUAACGCCCCCGAACAUAUCUCAAGGUUAGAUAUACCUCUCGUGGUUCCCCUAUAGCAUUGCAAUGCUAUACUAACCACAAUCCUGAAACUUUCUAAAAAUAGAAUCGUCAAACCCGACACUUUCUAUUUUUAGAAACUCACACAUAAUUCUCUUUCACAAGACACCAACAAGUCAAAAAUCACCAAAACAUAAAACUUACCAUGGAGUCUCAUUGAAGGCUCGAGAGGAUAAUCUAGGUCUCCAUGCUCACACAAUUGAUUAAACACACAAAUCAAUCAGCAUGCAAUCCACAUCAUCAUUUCUCAUCAACAAAAUUCACAUAUCACAUUAAAAAUCACCAAUUUACACCCGCCCUAGAACCGUAAGGGCUCUGAUACCAAAUUGAAAAGACCCGACCAGUUUUUUUUAUUUUCAAUUCAUUAAUUAAUAGUCCCAUACCCACUAAUUAAUAUAACUAAAUUAACUCAACAGUAAACCAUCAUGCACACCGAAAACAUAUUAAACCAACACCAUUUAAUCAUAAUAUUAAUUAACCAAUUAUUCAAUAACCACAAUUUACACCAGCAACCUAUCAUGCCUCUAAACCAUGUUCCAACAAUAACUAAACAUAUUCAUAAACAUAACUACCGAGACCCUAGAUCAUCCUCCUCUCCUCGCCAUGAUUCUACAGAUCACACUAAAUAAAUCCAGCCAUCCAAAUCAAUCAAACACACAUAAGAAGGGUUAAACAUGCUUAGAUCAGCCAUAGUCACGCACUCACCUUGAUAUGGAUUGAAAGAAGGACAAAACAAAGAGGAACAGAAAGAACAAG